AUCUGUUCCCAAACUUGGAAUGAAAGUAGAAUCUUUUUCAACACAGUUCUUGAGGCAGCUAUUAUCGAAAAUAAUGGAUUUGGCACUUGUGAUGAUUCCUGAGGCUGAAUCUGGACUCAGCAAGAAAGAGUGCCAUGAUUGAUUAGCCAUGUCUGCCAUUAGCUCAAAACUAGGGACAGAUCCUGCCAGAUACUUGCUGACAACAGCUUAGAAGUUUCCCUUGGCCAUACAAACCUUCUUAAAGGACUGACUGUUAGCAGUAAUGGAAAAUUCAGAUGGAUUACUGAUGCCACCCCUGGAGAGGUUCCUGAAUUCUGCUCAACACAAAAUCACCAUGAUUGAUGCUCAAGCUAGGCCUAAGUGUGGCAGUCUCUUACUGGUGCCUGCAGAUCCAGAUAUAGAACUUCCUCAGCAACUCCAGCAUCGUAUCUGCCUGCAUGCUGUCAUGUUUCCCAAGGUGAUGAUAAUGGAAUAAACCUUUGAAACU